rnacentral:rRNA from 1 species
AGUGAACGCUGGCGGUAGGCCUAACACAUGCAAGUCGAACGGCAGCACAGUAAGAGCUUGCUCUUACGGGUGGCGAGUGGCGGACGGGUGAGGAAUACAUCGGAAUCUACUUUUUCGUGGGGGAUAACGUAGGGAAACUUACGCUAAUACCGCAUACGACCUACGGGUGAAAGCAGGGGAUCUUCGGACCUUGCGCGAUUGAAUGAGCCGAUGUCGGAUUAGCUAGUUGGCGGGGUAAAGGCCCACCACGGCGCCGAUCCGUAGCUGGUCUGAGAGGAUGAUCAGCCACACUGGAAGUGAGACACGGGCCAGACUCCUACGGGAGGCAGCAGUGGGGAAUAUUGGACAAUGGGCGCAAGCCUGAUCCAGCCAUACCGCGUGGGUGAAGAAGGCCUUCGGGUUGUAAAGCCCUUUUGCUGGGAAAGAAAAGCAGCAGGUUAAUACCCCGCUGUUCUGACGGUACCCAAAGAAUAAGCACCGGCUAACUUCGUG